ACUUAUAAGCAUAUCGAGUGAGGUUCACCAGAUUGCACAACAUUAAGCAUCAUAAACAAACUAAAGCCUACAUUAAACAUCCAUCUCUCUCUCGUGUCUCUCAUGGAAAAACAAAAGAACAUAGAUCGAACAAGCGACCACAAUUCAACAGCUUUUUGUCCUCCGGUGACCAAAGAUAAGGGCCAUGGAAACAAGAGAAGCUGCCUUGAAGGAUGUCUCUUUGCUUUGUGCUGCUGCUGGUUAUGGGAAGCUUGCUUCGACCUGUAGAGAUAUUGGAGCAGUCGGAUGGCACAGCAGC